ACCCCAAAAUCAACAGAAAUGACUUUCAUCACCAUCUUGAUCUGGACACUGGCUGUAUUUGUUCAAGAAUCUGUUGGGCAGGUGACAGUGAGUCAAACCCCUCCAGUGCUUCUCUCUCAAACAGGACAAUCAGUCACUAUAAAAUGUCAAACUAGCAGCAAUCCUGCCUGCUGUUGUGGUGGGAAUCAAUGUCUUAGCUGGUAUCUACAGAAACCCGGAGAAGCUCCUAAACUCCUGAUUUAUGGAAUAAAUAAUAAACAGUCUGGAACUCCAUCUCGAUUCAGUGGCAGUGGAUCAAACACAGAUUUCACUCUGAGCAUCAGUGAAGUCAAGACUGAAGAUGCAGGAGAUUAUUACUGUCAGAGUUAUCACUAUAUCAACAGUAAAUAUGUGUUCACACAGUGAUAA